UCGUCUCUCAAGUUCUGGUGACGGCCCUCGGAAAACACCAGAACACUUUCACAGCCGGCUCUCGUAGCCGGCUUUUUUUU
rnacentral:ncRNA from 1 species